ACGUAGGACGCAAGCGUUAUCCGGAAUUACUGGGCGUAAAGGGCGUGUAGGCGGCACGGUAAGUCGACCGUGAAAGCUCCCGGCUAAACCGGGAGAGGUCGGUUGAGACUGCCGAGCUAGAGGGGCGUAGAGGGGUGUGGAAUUCCGGGUGUAGUGGUGAAAGGCGUAGAGAUCCGGAGGAAUACCAGAGGCGAAGGCGACACCCUGGGCCGUACCUGACGCUAAGGCGCGACAGCGCGGGGAGCGAACGG
rnacentral:rRNA from 1 species